rnacentral:pre_miRNA from 1 species
AAAGUACUCCUUCCGUCCCAAAAUUCUUUUCUUAGAUUUGUCAAGAUACGGAUGUAUUAAGUCACAUUUUAGUAUUAGAUACAUCCAUAUCUAGACAAAUAUAAGACAAGAAAUUUGGGACAGAGGGAGUAGUUG